rnacentral:rRNA from 1 species
UACGGAGGGGGCAAGCGUUGUUCGGAAUUACUGGGCGUAAAGGGCUCGUAGGUGGCCACCUAAGUCAGACGUGAAAUCCCUCAGCUUAACUGGGGAACUGCGUCUGAUACUGGAUGGCUUGAGUUUGGGAGAGGGAUGCGGAAUUCCAGGUGUAGCGGUGAAAUGCGUAGAUAUCUGGAGGAACACCGGUGGCGAAGGCAGCAUCCUGGACCAACACUGACACUGAGGAGCGAAAGCCAGGGGAGCAAACGGG